UACGUAGGGGGCAAGCGUUGUCCGGAAUCAUUGGGCGUAAAGCGCGUGUAGGCGGCCCGGUAAGUCCGCUGUGAAAGUCGGGGGCUCAACCCUCGAAUGCCGGUGGAUACUGUCGGGCUAGAGUGCGGGAGAGGGAUGCGGAAUUCCAGGUGUGGCGGUGAAAUGCGUAGAUAUCUGGAGGAACACCGGUGGCGAAGGCGGCAUCCUGGACCGGCAUUGACGCUGAGGCGCGAAAGCCAGGGGAGCAAACGGG
rnacentral:rRNA from 1 species